AGGCCUCCAGAGCAGGAGAGGGCUGCCAGGUGCUUUCCCAUGGAGCUGGAGCUUCGUUGCUGCCUGUCCCGAUGACGAGGCCUUUGGGAUGGGUUCCUCAGCAGCUCUUCUCCCGUGCGGUUUGCCUGCACUGCCAGCAGCCCCGUGACAUAAGGAAGCAACCAGGGCCUGGGAUGGAAGUCCCAUCUGAGUGUGCUGAAGCCACCAGGUGCUGCAGUGCCUCCAGGACCUGGCAUCAGGUGUAAACAAUGUUUUUGGAGAGCACUCGGCAUUCAAAUGGGAUUUGACACUGGUUAUCCUUGCAAAUUAUGGCUCUAGGGCAGAUAGGAAUGAGAUCUCUCCGAGGCGCUGUGAAAGCUGCUGUGCUCUGGGCUUCACUCAGCACGUCUCUAAGCCUCCUCCAGCGGUGCAAGUCCCCGUUCCCCUGGAAAGGAUGGGUCUCAGCAUCCCGAGGAAAGGUGCACCCUCUUUUCACCCACAUUUUCUGAUCCAUUUGUGCUUCAUCGGUGUGUAUGUGAGCUCCAGAGAGAGUCGGGAGAGCCUGAACCCAGUCAGAGACCUCCUUGUCUUCAGGAACAUCUCCCUGUAUGCCUUCCUGGGGUCACACAGCUGACGUGAGGCACCGCAGGGAGUGAGGAGCCCGUGCAGCACAGCGCCGAGCCCUCUCCGAGGGGACUUGAGGGCGAGGAGCACAGCGGGGUCACCUCCAUCCCCGGCACAGAGCAGGAGGCUCUGUCCUGGUGUCGACCCCGGUGACUGCAGAGCGAGGGCCAGGAUGUUCCCCGGGCUGGAGCCGAGCCGUGCCGAGGUCAGAUAUCCAGGGGCAGGAAGAAUAAUGUGUCCCCAGGGAUGUUUGAUAGACCGAUGGCUGUGUGUCCCUAACGCCUGGCCCCACGAAGCACGUUGAUGCAGCACACGUGCAGCAAUGAGGGUGCCAAGCUGCUGCAAUUCAUGUGCUCCUAGCUCCAGAAAAGCCAAAUCUUAGAUCCACGUUUCCCCUCUGCGAGGGCUGCCCUUAAUGGGGCCCUCUGUGUUUGUUCUGAAUUAUUCAUAAAUAAGGGUUCUUCCAUACACACCCGUUUUGCUUAUCCUGCUUCGGAUCUGGCGUCUUACAUCUCAGGCUGGCUCCACUAAUUAAUUGGCACCUAUGAGAUUAGGAGGUGAAAAAAUCCCUCCAAGCCCUUCUGAGAGCUUUGUAUCUGAAUUCACAGACUAACCAAGGACUGAGGUUCUGCCUACUAUUAAUAUUCACUAAAUAAUAUUUAUCCUUAUCCUUAUCCUCCUCCUUUUCUCUCUCCUCUUCCUUUGUGCUGUAUUACCUUAAGAUGAGGCCAUCACAUCAGCAUCGCUCAGAGCUCCCAGAACAGGCUUUACAGACAGAAUAAGUCACUAUAUAUACGUCAAACAACCUGAUAUACUUCAGUAACAGAAAUAAAGGUGAUCUCCCCAUCAGUUUGGCUGAGUGGGAGGAAUGCAAAGUACUGGGAAUGGGCUUGGAGGUAGGUGGCUCAGCCCCAAAUGCUCACUGUCUGUGGGUGUUUCCAUGCCAGGAUGGCCACCUUGUGGGGUCAGCAUAUGGCUGAUACCUUAGGGAUGCAGAAGACCUUGCCUCCCGACCAGAUGGAUUUUGAUGACUUGAAUUUUCCCUUGUGUUGUG